UCGGGAAUUUUGGGCAAUGGGCGAAAGCCUGACCCAGCAACGCCGCGUGAAGGAUGAAGUAUUUCGGUAUGUAAACUUCGAAAGAAUAGGAAGAAUAAAUGACGGUACUAUUUAUAAGGUCCGGCUAACUACGUGCCAGCAGCCGCGGUAAUACGAAGGGGGCUAGCGUUGUUCGGAAUCACUGGGCGUAAAGCGCACGUAGGCGGAUUUGUAAGUCAGGGGUGAAAUCCCGGGGCUCAACCUCGGAACUGCCUUUGAUACUGCAAGUCUCGAGUUCGGGAGAGGUGAGUGGAAUUCCUAGUGUAGAGGUGAAAUUCGUAGAUAUCUGGAGGAACACCGGUGGCGAAGGCGGCAUCCUGGACCAAUACUGACACUGAGGAGCGAAAGCCAGGGGAGCAAACGGGAUUAGAUACCCCCGUAGUCCCUGAGCGGGCUGGCAAGGCGCAU
rnacentral:rRNA from 1 species